CCUACGGGAGGCAGCAGUGGGGAAUAUUGCGCAAUGGGCGCAAGCCUGACGCAGCGACGCCGCGUGGGGGAUGACGGCCUUCGGGUUGUAAACCCCUUUCACCAUUGACCAAGGCCCCUAGCGGGGUUGAGUGUAGGUGGGGAAGAAGCACCGGCUAACUACGUGCCAGCAGCCGCGGUAAU
rnacentral:rRNA from 1 species